CCUACGGGAGGCAGCAGUAGGGAAUAUUGCUCAAUGGGGGAAACCCUGAAGCAGCAACGCCGCGUGGAGGAUGAAGGUUUUCGGAUUGUAAACUCCUUUUGUUAGAGAAGAUAAUGACGGUAUCUAACGAAUAAGCACCGGCUAACUCCGUGCCAGCAGCCGCGGUAAUACGGAGGGUGCAAGCGUUACUCGGAAUCACUGGGCGUAAAGAGCGCGUAGGCGGGAUAGCAAGUCAGAUGUGAAAUCCUAUGGCUUAACCAUAGAACUGCAUUCGAAACUGUUAUUCUAGAGAAUGGGAGGGGUAGGUGGAAUUCCUGGUGUAGGGGUAAAAUCCGUAGAGAUCAAGAGGAAUACUCAUUGCGAAGGCGACCUGCUAGAACAUAACUGACGCUGAUGCGCGAAAGCGUGGGGAGCAAACAGGAUUAGAUACCCGAGUAGUC
rnacentral:rRNA from 1 species